GUUGGUGAGGUAAAGGCUUACCAAGGCGACGAUCAGUAGCUGGUCUGAGAGGACGACCAGCCACACUGGGACUGAGACACGGCCCAGACUCCUACGGGAGGCAGCAGUGGGGAAUUUUGGACAAUGGGGGAAACCCUGAUCCAGCCAUGCCGCGUGAGUGAAGAAGGCCUUCGGGUUGUAAAGCUCUUUCAGCCGGAACGAAACGGUCACGGCUAAUACCUGUGACUACUGACGGUACCGGAAGAAGAAGCACCGGCUAACUACGUGCCAGCAGCCGCGGUAAUACGUAGGGUGCAAGCGUUAAUCGGAAUUACUGGGCGUAAAGCGUGCGCAGGCGGUUUUGUAAGUCAGAUGUGAAAUCCCCGGGCUUAACCUGGGAACUGCGUUUGAAA
rnacentral:rRNA from 1 species